UACGGAGGGUGCGAGCGUUGUCCGGAAUCACUGGGCGUAAAGGGCGCGUAGGCGGCGCGGGAAGUCCGUGGUGAAAGCCCGAGGCUCAACUUCGGGUCGGCCAUGGAUACUCCUGGGCUCGAGCACUGUAGAGGCAGGUGGAAUUCCGGGUGUAGCGGUGGAAUGCGUAGAGAUCCGGAAGAACACCGGUGGCGAAGGCGGCCUGCUGGGCAGUAGCUGACGCUGAGGCGCGACAGCGUGGGAGCAAACAGG
rnacentral:rRNA from 1 species